rnacentral:lncRNA from 1 species
AGUGCUUUUGUGACAUCACCCACCAGUACACCAUCCUUUUCAGGACCUCAUAUCUUCUUUGGAUGGUUUACUCAGGGGCCACCAAGACUCACUUUCAGAAGUGAGUGGCAACAAAGACCAGAAAUGAAAAGUUCUAGUACCUCAACUUUGGAACUCUUCCCACUUUGGCAUUCGCCAAGAACCCAGUUUGUGUUUAGACGGCAGGUAAAGCUUUUAAAUGGUAUUUGAUUUUUAAAAGCCUUUUAAAUGAUAUUUGCUGUUGCAGAUCAGACGCUUUAUUGGCUUUAAGUUUUAUUCCGUCGUUGCUUUUUCCUGUGAGUUGUUGGCUGCAUCUAACGGCGAAGUAGGAUAUUGAUAUUGUAAUAAAUAAAUCAUUGCAUCCUUUCCCCUUAAUUGGAAAUGAUAUUUACUCAAAGUACUGUCUAGAAAUAGGGAAGAGGCACCUGAAUAUAAUUCUCUGAAGGGAAGACGUCACUAAACAAAGUCAUAUAACUCAUCUCCACUUCCUACCCAGCCCCAAGAUGGCAUUUCACCUAGAGUUGCCAUAUUUCAAAAAGUGACAAUCAGGACACAAAAGUUCUUGAGAUUUUUUGGCAAAGUUUAUGAGCUAUUUUGAAGGAAAUUCCGACAUUGGUUGCCAUGCGCCCAGGUUUUUCUGGACAUUUUCCUGAUUUUCGGAAAUUUAGCCCAGACACUAUUUCCUACAGGCGAAUCCUGCCUAUGUCCAGGAAAUCCCGGACAUAUGGCAGCCCUAACUUCACCAGCCUGACUGUUCAUUGUGUGAACUUCUGCAUCCUUGGUGGAUUUAUAUAAGUCCAGAGAAGGUGCUAAUGAAGAUACUGAGAAUGAGAGAGGUCCCUGGGAAAGAGCAAUGGCAUGUGUAAAUCAAACAUGGGAAACCAGGAUCAGGAAUGAUUAUGGGUAGAGACAAGUGGCGGUGGCGGGGGGGGGGGAGCCAGCACAACAAGAUCUUGGACAUGCAGUUUUGGGCAAUACACUAUCUCUAUGGCAGAGGGAAGAACUGUUAUUUUUGGACUACAGUUCCUAUAACUUCUGAUCAUUGGCUGGGGCUGAUGGGAGCUGGGAGUCCAACAACAACCAUGUUGAAUAUGCCUAAUCUAGGGGUUCACCAUACAAUGGGGGACAAAAUCAACAAAGAAAGCAGUCUGUCCAUUAUUCAAGAAUGUACCACUGGACAAGUUAAUGUAGUUAUAUGUUGUUCUUGUAUUUACAAGAAAACCAAUAAAAAUUAUUUGGAUUUAAAAAAACAAAGAAUAAAAAAACAUUAAGAAUGUAUGUAUGUUGCCAGAUGCCUGUACAAUUUCAAAUGGGAACAUGUCAGGAAAUAGCAAAGAUAGGCUUUUGCUGAGUGAGUGUAAGAAUAAAAGGAAAAGGACAGAGAUAUAUAUUCCAACCCAGUUCCUGUGGGUGCCAUUGGGUGAAAUAUUCCUGCAUUGGACUAGAUGACCCUCGUGGUCCCUACCAACUCUCCAUUUCUAUGAUUCUAUGAUUCUACAUGAAGCAAGGACAAAGGAAUUUGGGCAGGACCGGUUUGGGGAUGUAAGAAAGAGGGACUGAUUAAAGAGAGGAUGGGAGGGAGGGAGAUUAGGCAAUGGACAGAGACAAGUGUGGCAAGAAAAUGAGACAGCAGAGGCCAAGGAAAAACUUGGUGGAGCACAGCCAGCAAUCAACUGGAAACGGAAAUGAGAUUUGUUGCUUGUUCACCAGCUCUGCUAAAGCCCAUCUUCAUAGCCCAUUUUUCCUUACACAUUACUGUCAUUUGAUGAGUGUCUUUUCUAGUAUAGCAAUUAAAAAUAACAGCACCAUGUACAAACACUGAGAGCAGAGGAUUUCCUUCCCCAUGCCAAAUGCUUAUUUUCAAGUGUUUCUAUAUGCUGUGCAAGGCAAUUUCCAUAACUACUUACCAAAUGCCCAAACCUCAACAGCUAAAAAUAAUCAUAAAGAGUGUAUGCCGUUUUGCUUAGGCUAUCAGUAAAGUGUAAUAUCCCACAAUGCCAGAGAGAUAUGGCUAUACAAAUUCAAAAAUGCUGCAAAACUGCACAAAGUUUCUUAUGGUCCAGAUGCCACUGCAUCCACGUGCUGUUUAUCUCCAAAUAAUGCCUUUCAAUUUGGCCUUGCCUAACUUGACGGAUCUAAUUCUCGGGGCUCCCAAAUUCAUUUUUACAUUCCUCUUUGUUUAAGCAAAACUUUGCACUUGCCUGUCAGGAGAAGUGCAUUAUUCCCUCCCCUCCAAAAAAAUAACAACUGUUCUGAACAACUGUUGUUUGCUUCGGAGGGUAAGAGCUAAGACAGCCCUUUGCAUGUUAUUUUACUUGUUAAUUAUCUACCCAGCAUUGCCCACAGAUUUCCUCUUCCCAACAGAAGCGUACAUACUGUGAAAUGUGGAAUUAAUAAUAUACCAGGCUGUGUCGUAUUAGUCACGUUACCCAGCACGGAACCUGUCUUGUGCUACAAUGUGUUCGGAUCCAUCGUGCUGAGAGGUACUGUACAAUGAAACCAUUCAAAAAAGGGGGAGUAACUUUCUCCCUAUAUAAUAUAUGAUGCUAUUUUUCCCACAGCAGUUUCAAUAAGUAAUGGUCCACGUUUUUAAAAAAAGGUAGUGAUUAAACACAAUGGGCAGUCCAUAUGAAGGAAGAAAAGGAGAGGAAGUAGGGAGUGAUAUUCUAACCACUCUUCACCAAUAGUAGACCGGUUCAGUCUGAUCUGAACCGUGGAUCUCAUCCGUGGUUGCACUGGCCAAUCCAGUGCAAGAAAACAUAACCAACAAAUAUAAUUUAUGAGCGCAAUAAGAAUACAUUCAAAACCAGCAUUCUAUGAUUCUUUAUAGAAUUGGAAAGGGACCACAGGGAUCAUCUAGGUCAACCCCCUACAAUGUAGGAAUCUUUUGCCCAACGUGGGGCUUGAACCCAUGAGCCUGAGAGUAAUAAUCUAAUGCUCUACCAACUGAGCUAUCCGGCAGCUAUAUGUGUAUGUGUGUGCAAACGCAUGCCUCUCUGAACAGACCUCAAGCAGGGUUGUAUAGCAUCUUCAGCAGCUGGACAAAACAGCAACAAGAAGAAACAGUUUGAAGUUCUAACAGUUCAAGAGAUUUCAAAGGCAUGUUCUGAUCAAGAUAAAGCUUGCAGUUCCUUGCAAACAUUCCCUGCUGCAUCCCAUAACAAUAUUGAGAACCCAUAGAAAUAUAUAAGUACUGAAAACAUUGAGGCCUCCUCCAGACUCCUAUGGAGCAGCUCCUCUGCCUCCUCUUCCAAACUGACGUCUAGAAUUUUUGCAGAAGAACAGGUUAGUGAGUACACUUCACUACUGUAAAGAAAAGGGGAGAAGUGGUCAGCUGAUAGGCCCUAUGCUGGUUUUGAAUGUAUUAUCCUGCUUUUAAUCAUGAGGAUAACAGCAUGGGUUUACAAUAUCGUAAAUAGGUCCAGUCGUAGACGACUCUGGGGUUGCGGCGCUCAUCUCGCUUUACAGGCUGAGGGAGCCGGCAUACAGCUUCUGGGUCAUGUGGCCAGCAUGACUAAGCCACCCACCAGAGCAGCGCACGAAAACACUGUUUACCUUCCCGCCGGAGCGGUACCUAUUUAUCUACUUUCACUUUGACGUGCUUUCGAGCUGCUAGGUUGGCAGGAGCAGGGACCCAGCAACAGGAGCUCACCCUGUCGCGGGGAUUCGAACCACCAACCUUCUGAUUGGCAAGCCCUAGGCUCUGUGGUUUAAUCCACAGCGCCACCCGUGUCCCUUGUUUGCAAUAUCGUACAUUUCCCUUUAUCAGUAAUUUUUUGAAAGACCAAAACAGCAAGAUAUUGGUCAUGUUGACUACAAGAGAAGAACACUGGAAGGUGACUGGAGCUGCAGCUACCAUGGCCCUAUGAUUUAAGGAAACAAGAGUGAUGGAAGUGACUUAAUGGCUUGGCUAGAACUUACAAACGAUACAUGCCAGUGGCCCAAAAUGGCAACUGCUUGAGUUGCCUCUCUCCUCUGCCAUAGUCAACCUAGAGUCUUUCAGAUGUUCUUGGAUCACAACUGCCAUCAGUCCCAGCGUGCAAUGCCAGUGACCAGGAAUUGUGGUUCAGCAACAUCUGGGGGCACCACAUUGGCUACCCCUGAUCUACACAAGAUGAUUCCCUGGACAGGGAGCAGGUGCAAAACGACGUCCCACCCCAAUGUCUCUGUGUACAUUGCUACGCACGCUCAGCCCCCAUCCACCCCUGCAGUGAGCAGAAAAGGUGAUUUGCUAAAGAAGUGACUUGCUGAAGACUACACAGUGAGAACCCAUGUCACCUUGGUCCAAUACCAGCAUUCCACUCACCAGAGUUAAUCCAACUGUAUAGAUUUAGUUCCUGAUGCUGCAAGAUCCAACCCAUUAGCCAUGGUUCUGUGGACAUAGGCCAAAUGAAGGGUGGCCAAAUCAAUUUAUUCCCAGUCCGUGUCCAUUUCACAAGUGUUCACCCAUCAGUCUGUCCCAUCUCAGUUCUGCAUUAACCUUGAAUUUUUACUUCAAAAAUUCUGCAGGAAAAUUCAUAUUUUAAAACAUUUGCUCAGCAUCUUCUCUCAAAAUUUGUGUUUUGAAAUGUAUUUGUACUCAUUUCAAACACUGGAACAUCUGGGAAAUGCAAAAGCUAGUGAUUAAGUCAAUUUCUGUUCGGUGCAGUGGUGCAGAUGAGGUCACUUCAUAAAGGAAUCUGCAAAGCUCAAAUUUGUUGGUCCAGCUCAAUGGCCAGUGGUAGCAGUACACAUUUGUUAUAAAGGAGAUUCAGCAUUGCAAGACCAAUUUAUAUCUCAAAGUGACAAUUUAAUGCAAACAACACAACCAGUCCCAUUGUUCCCUCUCUCAUUUGCAUGAUAGAUUUCUAAUUAUUUGAUUGCAGCUAUGAAUGCAGGACUGACUUCUGGAUUGGGCUUUGUAGUAACACACACACACACACACACACACACACACACACACACCACUGUUUAGAAUGUGGCUCUUGCUAAAGCAGCAACAGAUCCAUGCAAAAAAGUUUAUUUAUUUCAUGGGCAUAUUCUCCGUAUCUGGACUGAGGUGUAGGGCUCCUUGAAGCUUAUUCUGCUUGUUCCUCGUACCCGUUCCUUGCAACAGAGGAAAUGGCAGACUAAUGCACAGCAAUAAGACAGAAAGAUCUAUGUUGCAAUCACAGUGCUGCAGUACUAUGCUUUAGGGGGGGAAAGAGGGAAAAGAUGUAAAGCAAAAAACAAAAAAACAAAAAAACCCAAACUAAUCUUCAAAGCAAAUGAAGCAUCCAAAAAUGAAAUCCAUGAGCCCAUUUUCACUGCUGUUGGAAGCACAUUCCAGUUCCCAUGUAUUGCUCCUGAAGGACACCCACGUUGAAAGCAACAAAUGGCAAAGCACCCUAUUACAAAUAUUGCACCAAUAAAAGGCAUUUUGUACAACUAUUUUCAACAUUAGAGCAAGUUACUAUGGCAAUGUAUUAAAAUCUGCUGAAGUGCUUCCACCAUAUUAUUAUUCUGCAUAAUGAAUAUUACCUUGAUAAAUAUUUAAACUUACUUAAUCAUUUUUAAUUGCUGAUUUUCCCCCACUGGCAUAUACUAACAGCAUUCAUUGCCAGUUCAGAAGAAUUCCCAUUCAGACUACGCUAACCCGGCAAAGAGUUCCCAAAGGGAUCACCCUUGUACUAAAUAAAUAAAUAAAUGUUCCUUAUUCCAUUCAGGAUGCAGUCCAGGAUCUUUGAAAUGCAAUCUUUAAAAAACAAAACAACUACUGAUCAAGUACAAGUGAUCAAAAUAAGAAAACAUACAUGGUCCCUGAAACCACUUCCUUUGAACUAGUUUACCCAAUUUACACUGCAAUCAACCAUAAAAGCAAUUAUUAUGAUCACGUUGUUGUUUGAAAUGAUAUUAUUACAGUGACCAAGCAGCCAAGGUUUUACCAGUCCAAUCUGUUGUGUCAGAUAACCUUUAGGGUCUGGAAAUCCACUAAACUGCAAACUGCAGAGAAGUUUUUAAUGUUUGAUUCUAUUUUUAAUAUUCUGCUGGAAGCCACUCAGAGUGGCUGGGGAAACCCAGCCAGAUGGGCGGGGUAUAAAUUACUACUACUGCUACUACUACUACUACUACUACUACUACUAUUAUUAUUCUGCCCAUGAGCAAGAAUAUUCUGUCAAGUGUCAACCUGUUCAUUCCUGGCUCCAUCUCUAGUCCAUUUGAUUUCCUCAAGCUUCACCUUCAAACCCUAUCCCUGCCUGGGCUGGGUAGCGCUUCUGAAAUCAAAAGAUGUCAAUACUCUCAUAGGUUGUUUUGUACAGCCAGCACCCACUUUUUGUGUGACCAUGUUGUUCAUCCCUGUAUUCCACAAAGCCUUCUGGUCUGCAAACUGGUGCUUCCCAGGAGCAAGACACGCCCAAGUGAAGAAAACAGAAGAAAAGGAACAGUAUUGUACUUCUCAGACUCAAGCAUGACCCAACCUCCAGAAAGCUCAUUGGUCUUCUGCAGCUUGACUUACCUAUUAAUACUUGGUUAUUAUUCAACUAUUCUUUUUUCUUAUUUAGUGAUACACUUUAAUAAGGCAUCCUUUCCAAUGAGAUGAGCAUGCAUGACGGCUUCAGUGAGCAAGGCGUCAGCUACCCACACUGACUGAGCUUGAAUAGUAAUGUACGUGAUGCUACACUUUCCUUCCCUUUUUAUUACUUUUAACAGAGAGGAGGGGGAGUGGAAAUGCACACUGCCAGCAUAUGAAUGAACGGCGGAACAUUUUGUCUGCAAUGUGAACAAUGCGUCUCUCUGAAUACAAGACACACUUGAGCCCUUUGUGAUCUAUUUAUCGCAUGGGCUGCUACAGGAGAGGUCAUGGCAAAGUCAUUUCCUUCCUGUCUUGCAGAAUGUGCCACAGGCAAUUUUUGCAUGUGUUUUUUUUAAUAAAAAUAAAAAUAAUAAAAGGGGAAGGAGGGAGGGAGGGAGGGAGGGAGGGAGGGAGGGAGGGUGGAAGGAAGGAAGGAAGGAAGGAAGGAAACCUUAGACUGUCCUAAGGGGCAGCUGGUAUAAUAAGCCAACAAACUAUGUCUGAAUCUUCCAGCCAUGCUGCAAUGAUUUCAGAUGCUUCACAACACUGACAAAAUUUACUGGUAGUGACAGAUUCACUAUGUUCAAUUCGAAGUCGUAAAUUCCUGCAAAAAUAGUGCUCUCCAGGUAAGGCAAAGCAAAAGUUAUCAAGGCGCUCCCAGCAUUCUGAACAGGAGGAAAGCAAGAAAGGUGUCAGAGCCAGAUAUGGGCUCACCUUGGUCAAUUUGCUGCUCAAUACCAACAUCUCCAUUCACCCACUCGCCUCUCCCUGUCUGAAAUCCUGGACAGUUGCUGCAAGGAUGUGUAGAAAAUACAGAGAUUGAAUGCUCUGACUUGGUCGAAGGCAGCUUCUGAUGUACUACUUGCUUCAAUGCUUCCCAAUCCAGAAGCAUAAUUUUCUUAUGGUUGUUUACAUUUCAUAAAAGUUCACCAUUUCCCCAGCAUGGCUUACUGGGGAUGAAUGAAUGGCUGAAAAUUACUCCCGCCAUGUUGGCAAGAGAACCAGCCAUAUAAUGAAAUCCGGGAGAGGCAGUAUGGUAAGAAUCAUUUCCUGGUUUUUUUUCUACAUGUGCAAGGGUUGAUGUUUACCUUUUGUUUGCUCACACUUCAUGUCUUUAUUCAGACUUUAAAUGGUCACACCCAUCAACAUGAGAGUUCUCGAUUUGUAUUAACUCUCAAAAAUGCUCUUUAUGUCACUGCAUCUCUGUGGUGAGUUGUAGAUCUGAACCAUUUUGUGGGCUCUGCCACUUGACUCUCUCUCUCUCCCCCCUCCUUUUCAUUGUAACUGCUGAGUGUGUCUGUCAAUUACAUACACUAAAACCCUCAUGAAGGUAGCUCUAAUGUAAAACUUCCAUGGCUGCGACUAUUUGCCUUGAGGCCAAGAGUACCUCUGAACACUAAGCAGGGCAGGACCCAGCCCUAUCCAGACAAUAGAUUUUCACUCUGCAGUUCAGAAUCUUUCUGUUAUUUCCCUUGCAUAUAUAUUGGUAAUAAUAGAAGGUGCCAUUCCUGAUAGACAGAAAUUAUGAUGUUUCCUAUCCACAAAUGAUAAGCUAAAAGAUCAAACUCCCAAGACAAGUUUCCUAAUGCCACUUGUCUAUGUUGCCCAACUAUUGGCUUGUCAAAAUCCUAUAAAAUAUUACGCAGUAGUCUAGCUCCCUCGCUUCCCUGCUCAGUUUUUGCUCUUUCCUGUUUGUAUAUUCACAAAAGAACUGACUUAUUGAGUUGGCUGGUAUUGAAUAUUUAUUUAUCAGUGGCCAGAAAUGUGUUGGAAAUAAAGAUAAAUUUAUUGAAGGGGAGCCCAGUCAGACAAUAAAUACACUGCACCUCUAAGAAUAAUAACACAUCUCUCAAUUAACACUAGUAUUAAGAUUAGGGGCAGACUCAAGUAGUAAAGCUUCUCCUGGGUUGUAUCACUUCAGGCUGGUGAUGACAUUGUGGUGUGUUAGAAUGCCCACCAUGGUAAGGAGAAGAAAAAAGAAACCAUCCCUACAAACAGGGGGGGGGGGGGAAUGUCCUAAGAAGCAGAAGGCCACACUGAAUCUGUCUCCCCAUUUUGUUCAUUUUCUUUUAGAUCUAUAGACCAGGGAUGGAGAACCUUCUGGCCUUCCAACUCCAACUCCCAUCAGCCCCAGCCAACAUGGCCAAUGGCCAGGGAUUAUGUGAGUUGUAGUCUACAGGAGGAUUUGGUGAUGCCACCUUCCUGUUUCUGCUUGAAGUAGUAGAGUCCAGAAGCAGCUUCUUCACUUGAUUCUUCUAAAUGUAUUAAACUGAUCCUUGAAUAAUAAAUUUUUGAUGCCAUUCCUUCUGAGAAUAAGAGAUUCACACGUCCAAAGGUUCAUCUUCCGAGAGGUAAAUCCAGCUUAACUGACACAGGAAGUACAAUGCGACACAACCAGAAACUGAGCCAUGCAUUUAUUCAUGAGAUUAACAGCAGAAGGCAAAGCUUAGCAUGGAAAAAACAAGAGAGUGCAAAGAAACUGAUUAUCAAGGAAGUCCAGGCACAAGUGUCUCCCUCCUAAAUUCCUAGAAUACCGAUAUGAGCAAAGAGGCAAGAUUAUAUAUCCUUACAAUUUUGUGGCCAGUCACCCCCGUCACUCGCUUUUCAUCUACAGCAUCAGCGCAUACUGUACAGAAAUGCAUUCCUAAGCCUACUUAGAAGUAAUUCCCAAUGAAAUCAAGCAACUCUCCUGCAUUUUGCUGAUCUUCUCCAAUUCUCAUUGCUUACUCUCUCUUUUUUGGGGGGGCAAAGAAAGAAAGAAAGCCAUUCUGAAACAGGUGCAGGUUGUUGAAUUUGAUAAUACAAGUGCAACUGCCCAAAACAUUUUGACAGAAUAUCUUCUUUGAGGAAGAACCUUCCCGAAACCAGAGAACAUACAAACUCGUACCUGCAGAGUACUUAUGGUCACAGGGGUGCGUCCGUAGCAUGGACAAGAUGACUGGAUGGUGAACUAUUGGGCAGGGAGUAUAUAGCUCAGUGAUAGGGCACCUGAUCUGCAUCUAGAAGACUCCAGGUUCAAGCCUUGGCAUCUCUGGUUUCAGAAAGUGGUGAUGUGAAAGAUCUCUUCCUGAGUCCCUGAAGAAAGGCUUCAUAAAGUGGCUAGCCUGGUGCGAGGCCAGUUUCCUAACUGCCAGGUUAACUGAAUUAAUAAAUAUUGUAAGGAAUUAGAGAAUGUGGCUAGUCAGUUAUCUGUUCCAGCAAAUAUGGAGCCUGAGUGCUGAAUGGAGUGAAGUCAUUCCGUUCUGGAAAAUGUGUUACAGACAACAUGAUAAUACAGAUAAUGAAGAUAAUACAGGUAGCCUUUCUUUGUGUGCCCCCACCAGAAGGCCUUUUCAGUGGAAUGUUCUCCUCAGGGAGGCAUGCUUGGCGCCAUCUUUUUUCUAUUUGUAGGCACCAGGCAAUGGCUUUUCUCUUUACUUGGCCCUUAAUUUUAAAGGUGGCCUUGUGGCCUCUUUUAGUGGGGUACAAUCAAUAACACUCUCUCCUGAAAGCAGUGAUGGG